rnacentral:rRNA from 1 species
UACGAAGGGGGCUAGCGUUGCUCGGAAUCACUGGGCGUAAAGGGUGCGUAGGCGGGUCUUUAAGUCAGGGGUGAAAUCCUGGAGCUCAACUCCAGAACUGCCUUUGAUACUGAGGAUCUUGAGUUCGGGAGAGGUGAGUGGAACUGCGAGUGUAGAGGUGAAAUUCGUAGAUAUUCGCAAGAACACCAGUGGCGAAGGCGACACGCUGGGCCGUACCUGACACUGAUGCGCGACAGCAUGGGGAGCAAACAGG